CUCAAGCAUCGACUCAUCAUUUAUUGAGAUAAUUUAAAGAACUAAAACCACCUAAUUCAAAUCAAUGGCACUAAUUAUAUUUAGAAAUCAUGUUGAAGAUAGUAAAGGUAACUAACGAUUUCAGCUUUAUCCUAUUUGGUGUAAUUUUCUCAGGAACCAAACAAGGAGAAGAAUAAAUAGGAGAGAGAGACAGACAUGCCUGGUACUGGUAGGGGAA
rnacentral:misc_RNA from 1 species